GCCGUUUCCGCCGUCAAAGACAUGAACCUACCACAGAAAAUCAAGGACAUGAAACUGCCGGACCUUCCUAACAUUCUAAAGAGCUAACUCCAUUUGUUUGAAAAACAAAAUAAUAUUGUCAUCAUUAAUUGUGUUUCAUGUGUAUGCAUGGUUGUCAUAUGUACAUUUGUAAACCCAUACAAGAUCUUUGACCAAUUCUAUUAUUACAUGAGGGAAAAGAUAUUUAAAUUUUUCUUAAGGGGAUGGGGGGAUAAAACUACAAUUAAUGUCAUUCAUUGAUAUAAAGUAGCGGUUAUACACAUGCUGCAUUACUAGUUUGUUCAAAUUUAAAAAAAAAAGGGGGGGGGGGGAGGGGGAAUUAAGAAAUUUUUGGAUGCAGCAUAUGAUAAAAACUUAAUGUUGCUAUGAAUGGGAAGUGAAAUUACAUGUAUAUGUUGUACUUUGAGAACAAAUUAACUUUUAAUAAAUGUUUGAAAUAU
rnacentral:misc_RNA from 1 species